UCCGCAUGGUGGGGGGUGGAAAGUUUUUUCGGUCGGGGAUGGGCUCGCGGCCUAUCAGCUUGUUGGUGGGGUAACGGCCUACCAAGGCGAUUACGGGUAGCCGGCCUGAGAGGGCGACCGGCCACACUGGGACUGAGACACGGCCCAGACUCCUGCGGGAGGCAGCAGUGGGGAAUAUUGCGCAAUGGGCGAAAGCCUGACGCAGCGACGCCGCGUGGGGGAUGACGGCCUUCGGGUUGUAAACCUCUUUUACCACUCACGCAGGCCCCACGUUUUCGUGGGGUUGACGGUAGGUGGGGAAUAAGGACCGGCUAACUACGUGCCAGCAGCCGCGGUAAUACGUAGGGUCCGAGCGUUGUCCGGAAUUAUUGGGCGUAAAGAGCUCGUAGGCGGCGUGUCGCGUCUGCUGUGAAAGACCGGGGCUUAACCCCGGUUCUGCAGUGGAUACGGGCAUGCUAGAGGUAGGUAGGGGAGACUGGAAUUCCUGGUGUAGCGGUGAAAUGCGCAGAUAUCAGGAGGAACACCGGUGGCGAAGGCGGGUCUCUGGGCCUUACCUGACGCUGAGGAGCGAAAGCAUGGGGAGCGAACAGGAUUAGAUACCCUGGUAGUCCAUGCCGUAAACGUUGGGCGCUAGGUGUGGGGACUUUCCACGGUUUCCGCGCCGUAGCUAACGCAUUAAGCGCCCCGCCUGGGGAGUACGGCCGCAAGGCUAAAACUCAAAGGAAUUGACGGGGGCCCGCACAAGCGGCGGAGCAUGUUGCUUAAUUCGACGCAACGCGAAGAACCUUACCAAGGUUUGACAUCACCCGUGGACCUGUAGAGAUACAGGGUCAUUUGGUUGGCGGGUGACAGGUGGUGCAUGGCUGUCGUCAGCUCGUGUCGUGAGAUGUUGGGUUAAGUCCCGCAACGAGCGCAACCCUUGUUCCAUGUUGCCAGCACGUAAUGGUGGGGACUCAUGGGAGACUGCCGGGGUCAACUCGGAGGAAGGUGGGGACGACGUCAAGUCAUCAUGCCCCUUAUGUCUUGGGCUGCAAACAUGCUACAAUGGCCGGUACAAUGGGCGUGCGAUACCGUGAGGUGGAGCGAAUCCCUAAAAGCCGGUCUCAGUUCGGAUUGGGGUCUGCAACUCGACCCCAUGAAGGUGGAGUCGCUA
rnacentral:rRNA from 1 species